AAUAAAUGGCGGCAUUAUGAACG
rnacentral:sRNA from 1 species